UAUAGCAACUUCAAUAUACGUUCAUUCCCUCACUCUUCAUCAAGUCUCAACGCUCCUUCUACAAAUCAAGCAUCAUGAGUUCUAAAAACAUGAUUCAAAGUGCUAUUUGCCACACCACAAGACCGGCUCCUCGUACCAAUAACACCAAUUCUAGUGAGGAAGAUGACGCAGGAAAGCUUUUGCUUGAGUAUGAAGAUCCUUCUAACAGAAAAGGUGCUAGUAAAGGAGAAGGGAAAACAAAUGGACCCAGCACCGGAGAACUUCAGAAACCCGAUCCAGAGACUAAAGAACCAAAGGGUUCUAGAUUCAAAGCUCGAAAAUAAACAAUACCAAAUCACAAACAAACAGGUUUACUUUCAAGUGUUUAUGUGGAAAAAAAUUAUGCAGCAACUUGAAGAUUCAAUGUUCUUAUUUCCAACUUCGUUUAGAGUAUAGUGAUUACAAACUAAUGUGACCUAAGAAAUAAGUCUACGUUGUUAUUAGUUAGUAAGUUAUGAUUUGGGA